rnacentral:tRNA from 1 species
GUCCCCUUCGUCUAGAGGCCUAGGACACCGCCCUGUCACGGCGGUAACAGGGGUUCGAAUCCCCUAGGGGACGCCA